rnacentral:rRNA from 1 species
CAAUGGGGGAAACCCUGACGCAGCAACGCCGCGUGUGGGAAGAAGGCCUUCGGGUCGUAAACCACUUUGCACGGGGACGAAAAAGGGAUAUCGAACAAAUAUCCCCGAUGACGGUACCGUGAGAAUAAGCCACGGCUAACUCUGUGCCAGCAGCCGCGGUAAGACAGAGGUGGCAAGCGUUGUUCGGAAUUACUGGGCGUAAAGAGUCUGUAGGUGGUUUGUCAAGUCUUUGGUGAAAGGCCGUAGCUUAACUAUGGGAAUGCCAAAGAGACUGGCAGGCUGGAGGCUGGGAGAGGGAAGCGGAAUUUCUGGUGUAGCGGUGAAAUGCGUAGAUAUCAGAAGGAAGGCCGGUGGCGAAGGCGGCUUCCUGGAACAGUCCUGACACUGAGAGACGAAAGCGUGGGGAGCAAACAGGAUUAGAUACCCUGGUAGUCCACGCCCUAAACGAUGGGUACUAAGUGUGGAGGGGUUAAACCCUCCGUGCCGCAGCAAACGCAGUAAGUACCCCGCCUGGGGAGUACGGCCGCAAGGUUGAAACUC